rnacentral:misc_RNA from 1 species
ACUCCGAUCAAAGGCACCAAGGCGUCGAGGGAUUGGAUCGAGAUCCCGAUCCCAAUCAUGAUGUUGGCUAUGUAAUUUCCUGUUUUCCACACCGUUCAGGGCAUUUUGGUGGUCGUAUCGGCUUUUAGUUGCUUGCUUGGUGUUAGUGCCAAGGGAGUGGUUGGAAGCUAGGUCGUCCUCUGGAAUGCUUGUUGUAAAGGUGUAUGAGUUGUGUUUGGCUUGUUACGGGUGUUUGUUGGCUGCUUGUGCAGGAACUUUCAUGCGUCCAAGCCUCUUCAGUUGUGCUACAAGGCCUUGUCUGUCUUGUGCAUAUGGUGGGUUUCCUGUGUUGCAUACCUAAUCAAGGGCAUCGUAUGGCUUGAUCGAAGUAAAUAUUCGUAAUGCGCCGCUUGCGGCGUUGCACGAACCUCGAAGUGGUCUCUGUGGCCCAUGUUGUCUUUGCUCACGCAUGGAUGGCAUGGCCCUCGGAGCGUCGCUUGGUCUCUUGGAUACGGAACCUGAUGAUGUGGGCGGUAGGGUCUUGGAUGAUUCUACCUUCGC